rnacentral:lncRNA from 1 species
AGGGCCGCUAGAGCUUAGGCAUCUCACAUGUUGCACUUUUGUGUGGAACGCAGUUGUUACCUACAUUAAAGAUUUGAAGGAGUUGGGGAGUGAUACACUGUGGCUCAGCUGGUUAGGAACCCAACUAGUAUUCAUAAGGAUGCAGGUUCCAAUCCUGGCCUUACUCAGUGGAUUAAGGAUCUGGCGUUGCCGCAAGUGACAGCAUAGCUGCAGAUAUGGCUUGGAUCUGGUGUUGCUGUGGCUGUGGUGUAGGCCAGUAGAUGCAGCUCUGAUUCGACCCCUGGCCCAGGAACUUCCAUAUGCUGCAGGCGCAGCCCUAAAAGGAUGGAAGGAAGGAAGGGAGGAACAAAGGAAGGAAGGAACGGAAGGAAAGGAAAGGAAAGGAAAGGAAGGAAGGAAGGAAGGAAGGAAGGAAGGAAGGAAGAAAGAAAGAAAGAAAGAAAGAAAGAAAGAAAGAAAGAAAGAAGAAAGAAAGAAAAGAAAAAGAAAAGGAAAGAAAGUCUGCCUCUCUGAUGGGACUGUAAGUUCCUGGAGGCUGGAAGUAAAGGGACUUGCUCAACUUCACGUGGCAAACGUACACGGAAUUGGAAUCCCCGAAGAUCGAAAAUCACUCAUCACUUUCCUGGUUCCUCUGAACUUGCCCCACACUUGUCUAGAAGCAAACUUGGAAGGAAGGCGGGAGGGAGGGUAGGAUGAAAGGCCUCCCAUUACGUAAUCAAAAAUGUUAAGAGUCAGUCUGCCGGAUGCUUAAGGAGGCCGUCCAGGAGGGGGGACCUCAAACUCAGACUUUCAAAGUCAUCUCAAGAUAACUCUACAGGCACGGAACAUGUACGCACUAAAAGCAUUAAUGUGAACAAUGUGUACAUUUUAAACACCUGUUGCUAAAAUCCUGUUUUGGCGUUUCUUCACUGUUUUUUAAAUACCGGCUCUGGCCACUUGGGAGUGGCCAUAAGGAUUCCUCAGAGCUCUGGUCCCAGCAAAUGAAGCAAAUGUCAGCUAUCCCACCCAAAAACCAAAAAAAAAGGCAGGAGGGAAUCUUGGCAAAAUUCUAGCUGCGAUUACAGUUCUUUAGGGUCUUUAUGCUUCGUCCUCUCUCCCGUGCUUUGGAGGAGGGGUCCCAGGAGAAGUGAGUUACUAAGGCUCUUAGCCGGGAGGAGGGUCUCAGGUCUCUGCUCCUGUGGCGGAGGUCUGUGGUUUCUCCACGUCCCGCUGGCUUGCAACAAAGACAGACACGGAGGACCUGUUCAUUGAGUCCUGGGUGAUUUUAUGUACACUUGUCUUCUCAUUUAUAUCUCACCCAGCUCUUUUAGAUAUUACUAUUAUUAUUACUAUGCCCAGUUUAUAGGCUAUAGACUCAAUGAGGUUAAGUUAAAAGCCAGGAAACGGCUGGGAGGGAAACUAGCUUGUUGUGAGACCUAAAUGAGUUAAUGUACCUAAAAGGCUCGACACGCAGUAAAUCAGCAACUAGCAGCUCUUACUAACAUAAGCAGAAGCCAACCAGCUCUGGGUAAUACAUUUCAUUCUUUAAAAGAGAAGAGGGGAGUUCCUGUCGUGGUGCAGUGGAAACGAAUCCAACUAGGAACCAUGAGGUUGCCGGUUCGAUCCCUGGCCUUACUCAGUGGGUUAAGGAUCCAGCGGUGCAUGAGCUGCGGUGUAGGUCGCAGACGCCACUCGGAUCCCCCAUUGCUGUGGCUGUGGCAUGGGCUGACAGCUGUAGCUCCAAUGAGACCCCUAGCC